CUACAAGCUGACAAUGGAUGCCUAGGGCGCUCAUGCCGAGGAAGGACGUACAUGGCAGCGAUAUUCGUCGGGGAGGAGUCAUGAUCCUUUGAUCCGGCGGUUUCCGAAUGGAGAAAUCCGGCCAACGCGAGUUGGUCAACCCAUCGUAAAGGCAGCCGCAAGGUUGUUAUAGCAAUGGGUGGGGCACCACCUGAACUGAAACAUCUCAGUAAGGUGAGGAAAAGAAAUACAAACGAGAUUCCGUAAGUAGCGGCGAGCGAAAGCGGAAAAGCCUAAACCACGCCGCAAGGCGUGGGGUUGUGGGGCGGGAGACGCAGGGAGUAUUGAAGGUAGGAGAACAUCUCGGAAUAGGUGGCCACAGAGAGUGAAAGCCUCGUAUCCGAAAUCUGAAAUACCUCUAUCCCGGUCCCAAGUACCAUGGGACACGAAGGUCCUGUGGGAAGCAGGGGGAACCAUCCUCCAAGGCUAAAUACAUGAGUGCACCGAUAGUGAACGAGUACCGUGAGGGAAAGGUGAAAAGCACCCCGGAAGGGGAAUGAAAUAGUACCUGAAAUUGUCAGCUAACAAACAGUGAGAGCCCCGUAAGGGGUAAUCACGUGCCUAUUGAAGAAUGAACCGGUGAGUUCUUCCGUGUUGCAGUUUAAUCCCGCUAAGCGGGAGGAGACACAGUGAAAGCGAGGGUGAAUAGCCCGUUCGUAGCACGGAUGAGACCCGAAACCGGGUGAGCUAACCAUGGGCAGGGUGAGUCCCGACGAAAGUCGGGAGGAGGCCCGAACCCGUCAGAGUUUCAAAUCUGUGGGAUGACCUGUGGUUAGGGGUAAUAUGCCUAUCGAACCCGGAGAUAGCUGGUUCUCCCCGAAAUAUAUUUUGGUAUAGCGGUCGAUCAAGCGAUGGAGUGGUAGAGCGCUGAAUGAUAUCAGUUUCGCAAGGAAUUGACUUCAAUCAAACUCCGAAUACUUACAUCGUUACUCGGCCAGUCAGACGUGCGGGGCUAAGCUCGUGCGUCGAAAGGGAAACAGCCCUGACUCACAUCUAAGGCCUCUAACUCUUUGCUCAGUGGUUAAGGAAGUCAUGGUUUACAGACACCCAGGAGGUUGGCUUAGAAGCAGCCAUCCUUUAAAGAAAGCGUAACAGCUCACUGGAUGAAAGCCGUGGCGCCGAAAAUGAUCGAGGCUCAAGCAAAGGGCCGAAGAUAGAGGUACGUACAUGCGCAAGCACUGUACGUACGGUAGGGGAGCGUUCUGUUUGCAGUGAAGGUCACUUUGUAAGAAGGGCUGGAGCGGACAGAAGUGAGAAUGCCGGUAUGAGUAGCGUUUGGAAGUGAGAAUCUUCCAUGCCGAAUGCGCAAGGUUUCCGAAGCAACGUUCGUCGACUUCGGGUAAGUCGGAUCUAAGGCGAGGCCAAUCAGGCGUAGCUCGAUGUAGAAACGGUUGAUAUUCCGUUACAGGGAAGUGUCGAUUAAAACCCAAAGGAAUGACAAAGUGGGAUGUGUCUGUGGGCUGAUUCGUCGGCCUUUAAGCUUUGAAAUAGGAGUAACUGGUAAAUCCGUAACUCCGUUUAAUCUAAGAAGCGAAUAGGAGUCCAAGCCGCAAGGCAAGGACAACACAGAUAGUUCCGUUUUCGAGAAAAGUUUCGUUGGGGAGCACUUCUUUUCCGUACCGCAAACCGACACAGGUGCGCUGGUGGUAGACCACCAAGGCAAGCGGGCGACAGUGGUUCAAGGAACUCGGCAACAAAAGCUGGGCGUAACCUUUGGGAGAUGCCCUACCCCGCUCAAGGCGGGGUCACAGUAAAUGACACUACGCGACUGUUUAACUAAAACACAGGUCUCUGCGAAGCCGAAAGGCAACGUAUAGGGGCUGACACCUGCCCAGUGCCGGUAAGUUAAAAAAGGUAAAUGAUCCCGAGCAAUCGGGUAAGUUCGCUUUUUAAGCUCCGGUGAACGGCAGCAAUAACUAUAAUUGUUCUAUGGUAGCGAAAUUCCUCGACAGGGGACCUUUCACUGUAAGGUGGAUUGAAUAUUUGGCUAUAUGCUGGAAUAACUCUGUAUCUCAUAGUACCCUCCGAUUCGGAGGGUAAUAAUCUAUGAGUGGAGUCAAUCAGCAGGGAAGUCCUUCGAUUAACACUCGGGAUCCCUCAACGACUACACGCCAAACCCCCGCACCAGACGGUGCAGGGUGAAGAUAUAGUCUGAACUUCGUAGCGAUACGAAGAGCUUCUGAAGCGGAACUAACGAAGCAUCCCGACGCUUCCGUCGGGAGUAACAUAUUUGUGUCGGGCAAGUUCCGACCCGCACGAAAGGUAGCACGACGUAGUGACUGUCUUGAACCAUUACCCGGCGAAAUUGAAAUGGCUGUGAAGAUGCGGCCUACUUGCACUUGGACAAAAAGACCCCGUGGAGCUUUACUGCACCUAGACACUGAGGACUCUAUUUUGACUGUCGAGUAUAGGUGGGAGACUUCGGUCAUCAAUGAAAUACCACUCUUCGAAAUGGGGAAAUCUGACUUACUCCCGCAUAAAAAUCCGGGAGGAGGACACUGUCUGGCGGGCAGUUUAACUGGGGAGGUUGCCUCCAAAAAAGUAACGGAGGCGUACAAAGGUUGGCUAAUCCUGAAUGGAAACCAGGACGUGUCGUGCAAACGCGGCAAGCCAGCUUGACUGUGAGACGUACAGGUCGAACAGGCACGAAAGUGGGUGUUAGUGAUCCUCGGAUCCCUCGUGGGAGGGACCGGGCUUAACGGAUAAAAGCUACCCCGGGGAUAACAGGCUGAUCGCUUCCGAGCGUCCAUAGCGAC
rnacentral:rRNA from 1 species